rnacentral:rRNA from 1 species
AAUGAACGCUGGCGGCAGGCCUAACACAUGCAAGUCGAACGGAUCCUUCGGGAUUAGCGGCGGACGGGUGAGUAACGCGUGGGAACAUACCCAAAGGUACGGAAUAGCCUCGGGAAACUGGGAGUAAUACCGUAUGUGCUCGAAAGAGGAAAGAUUUAUCGCCUUUGGAUUGGCCCGCGUUGGAUUAGGUAGUUGGUGGGGUAAUGGCCUACCAAGCCGACGAUCCAUAGCUGGUUUGAGAGGAUGAUCAGCCACACUGGGACUGAGACACGGCCCAGACUCCUGCGGGAGGCAGCAGUGGGGAAUCUUAGACAAUGGGGGAAACCCUGAUCUAGCCAUGCCGCGUGAUCGAUGAAGGCCUUAGGGUUGUAAAGAUCUUUCAGGUGGGAAGAUAAUGACUGUACCACCAGAAGAAGCCCCGGCUAACUCCGUGCCAGCAGCCGCCGUAA